rnacentral:rRNA from 1 species
CUCGUAGGCGGCCAACUAAGUCAGACGUGAAAUCCCUCAGCUUAACUGGGGAACUGCGUCUGAUACUGGAUGGCUUGGAUUCGGGAGAGGGAUGCGGAAUUCCAGGUGUAGCGGUGAAAUGCGUAGAUAUCUGGAGGAACACCGGUGGCGAAGGCGGCAUCCUGGACCGAUAUUGGCGCUGAGGAGCGAAAGCCAGGGGAGCAAACG